UACGAAGGGGGCUAGCGUUGCUCGGAAUUACUGGGCGUAAAGCGCGCGCAGGCGGUCCUUCAAGUCAGAGGUGAAAGCCCAGAGCUCAACUCUGGAACGGCCUUUGAGACUAGAGGACUUGGGUACGGGAGAGGUGAGUGGAAUUCCGAGUGUAGAGGUGAAAUUCGUAGAUAUUCGGAAGAACACCAGUGGCGAAGGCGGCUCACUGGCCCGUUACCGACGCUCAGGCGCGACAGCGUGGGGAGCAAACAGG
rnacentral:rRNA from 1 species